rnacentral:rRNA from 1 species
CGGAGUAAAGAUUUAUCGCUUUGAGAGGAGCCUGUGUCCUAUCAGCUUGUUGGUGAGGUAAUGGCUCACCAAGGCUAUGACGGGUAGGGGGUGUGAGAGCAUGGCCCCCAACAUUGGAACUGAGACACUGUCCAAACACCUACGGGUGGCUGCAGUCGAGAAUAUUCGUCAAUGGGCGAAAGCCUGAACGAGCGACGCCGCGUGCAGGAAGAAGGUUUUCGGAUUGUAAACUGCUUUUCUCUGGGAACAAUUACGAUGAGUGUACCAGAGGAAUAAGAGGUUACUAACUCUGUGCCAGCAGUAGCGGUAAUACAGAGACCUCAAGCGUUAUCCGGAUUUAUUGGGCGUAAAGGGUAGGUAGGCGGUCUUGUUAGUCGGAUGUUAAAGCUCGGGGCUCAACCCCGAAUCUGCAUUCGAAACGGCAAGACUAGAGGAUGUGAGAGAUCAGUGGAAUUUAUGGUGUAGUAGUGAAAUGCGUUGAUAUCAUAAGGAACACCCAAGGCGAAGGCAACUGAUUGGCACAUUUCUGACGCUGAGACACGAAAGCGUGGGGAGCGAAUAGGAUUAGAUACCCUAGUAGUCCACGCCGUAAACGAUGCAUACUAGGUGCAGGGAGAAUCGACCCUUUCUGUGCCGUAGCUAACGCGUUAAGUAUGCCGCCUGGGAAGUACGAUCGCAAGAUUAAAACUCAAAGGAAUAGACGGGGACUUGCACAAGCAGUGGAUUAUGUGGUUUAAUUCGAUGGUAAACGAAGAACCUUACCAGGGUUGGAAAUCUAGUUGAAGCUAGCCAGAAACGGUUAGCGCCGCAAGGCAAUUAGACAGGUGCUGCAUGGUCGUCGUCAGUUCGUGGUUUGAAUUGUUCCCUUCAGUGGGGUAACGAACGCAACCCUCAUUGCCUGUUACAAGUGUCAGGCGAGACUGCCCAGCUCGGUGGUCAUAAACGUAAGUUUGUGAACAGUGAGCUGGGAGGAAGGUGAGGAUGACGCCAGGUCAGCAUGGCCCUCUGAUACCCUGGGCUACACACGUGAUACAAUGGUACAUACAACGCGAUGCGACGGGGAGACCCUGAGCCAAUCGUUAGA